AUUGAACGCUGGCGGCAGGCCUAACACAUGCAAGUCGAGCGGUAGCACAGAGAGCUUGCUCUCGGGUGACGAGCGGCGGACGGGUGAGUAAUGUCUGGGAAACUGCCUGAUGGAGGGGGAUAACUACUGGAAACGGUAGCUAAUACCGCAUAAUGUCGCAAGACCAAAGUGGGGGACCUUCGGGCCUCAUGCCAUCAGAUGUGCCCAGAUGGGAUUAGCUAGUAGGUGGGGUAACGGCUCACCUAGGCGACGAUCCCUAGCUGGUCUGAGAGGAUGACCAGCCACACUGGAACUGAGACACGGUCCAGACUCCUACGGGAGGCAGCAGUGGGGAAUAUUGCACAAUGGGCGCAAGCCUGAUGCAGCCAUGCCGCGUGUGUGAAGAAGGCCUUCGGGUUGUAAAGCACUUUCAGCGGGGAGGAAGGCGGUGAGGUUAAUAACCUCAUCGAUUGACGUUACCCGCAGAAGAAGCACCGGCUAACUCCGUGCCAGCAGCCGCGGUAAUACGGAGGGUGCAAGCGUUAAUCGGAAUUACUGGGCGUAAAGCGCACGCAGGCGGUCUGUCAAGUCGGAUGUGAAAUCCCCGGGCUCAACCUGGGAACUGCAUUCGAAACUGGCAGGCUAGAGUCUUGUAGAGGGGGGUAGAAUUCCAGGUGUAGCGGUGAAAUGCGUAGAGAUCUGGAGGAAUACCGGUGGCGAAGGCGGCCCCCUGGACAAAGACUGACGCUCAGGUGCGAAAGCGUGGGGAGCAAACAGGAUUAGAUACCCUGGUAGUCCACGCCGUAAACGAUGUCGAUUUGGAGGUUGUGCCCUUGAGGCGUGGCUUCCGGAGCUAACGCGUUAAAUCGACCGCCUGGGGAGUACGGCCGCAAGGUUAAAACUCAAAUGAAUUGACGGGGGCCCGCACAAGCGGUGGAGCAUGUGGUUUAAUUCGAUGCAACGCGAAGAACCUUACCUGGUCUUGACAUCCACAGAACUUUCCAGAGAUGGAUUGGUGCCUUCGGGAACUGUGAGACAGGUGCUGCAUGGCUGUCGUCAGCUCGUGUUGUGAAAUGUUGGGUUAAGUCCCGCAACGAGCGCAACCCUUAUCCUUUGUUGCCAGCGGUUAGGCCGGGAACUCAAAGGAGACUGCCAGUGAUAAACUGGAGGAAGGUGGGGAUGACGUCAAGUCAUCAUGGCCCUUACGACCAGGGCUACACACGUGCUACAAUGGCAUAUACAAAGAGAAGCGACCUCGCGAGAGCAAGCGGACCUCAUAAAGUAUGUCGUAGUCCGGAUUGGAGUCUGCAACUCGACUCCAUGAAGUCGGAAUCGCUAGUAAUCGUAGAUCAGAAUGCUACGGUGAAUACGUUCCCGGGGCCU
rnacentral:rRNA from 1 species